UUCCAGACUCCUACGGGAGGCAGCAGUGAGGAAUAUUGGUCAAUGGGCUUACGCCUGAACCAGCCAAGUCGCGUGAGGGAAGACUGCCCUAUGGGUUGUAAACCUCUUUUGUCAGGGAGCAACGCCGGCUACGUGUAGCCGGACUGAGAGUACCUGAAGAAAAAGCAUCGGCUAACUCCGUGCCAGCAGCCGCGGUAAUACGGAGGAUGCGAGCGUUAUCCGGAUUUAUUGGGUUUAAAGGGUGCGUAGGCGGAAUGCCAAGUCGGCGGUAAAAUCGCGGGGCUCAACCCCGGCGAGCCGUUGAAACUGGCGGGCUGGAGUUGGAGAGAAGUACGCGGAAUGCGCGGUGUAGCGGUGAAAUGCUUAGAUAUCGCGCAGAACCCCGAUUGCGAAGGCAGCGUACCGGCUCCACACUGACGCUGAGGCACGAAAGCGUGGGUAUCGAACAGGAUUAGAUACCCGAGUACC
rnacentral:rRNA from 1 species